rnacentral:rRNA from 1 species
GACGAACGCUGGCGGCGUGCUUAACACACGCAAGUCGAACGGUAAGGCCCUUCGGGGUACACGAGUGGCGAACGGGUGAGUAACACGUGGGUGAUCUGCCCUGCACUUCGGGAUAAGCCUGGGAAACUGGGUCUAAUACCGGAUAGGACCACUGCCUGCAUGGGUGGUGGUGGAAAGCUUUUGCGGUGUGGGAUGGGCCCGCGGCCUAUCAGCUUGUUGGUGGGGUGAUGGCCUACCAAGGCGACGACGGGUAGCCGGCCUGGGAGGGUGACCGGCCACACUGGGACUGAGAUAAGGCCCAGACUCCUACGGGAGGCAGCAGGGGGGAAUAUUGCACAAUGGGCGCAAGCCUGAUACAGCGACGCCGCGUGAGGGAUGACGGCCUUCGGGUUGUAAACCUCUUUCAGCACCGACGAAGCGCAAGUGACGGUAGGUGCAGAAGAAGGACCGGCCAACUACGUGCCAGCCGCCGCAGUAA